GUCGAACGAGGUCCAUGCAGUGGCAACACUGCGGAAGACCUAGUGGCGAACGGGUGAGUAACACGUGAGGAACUUGCCCCGGAGACCGGGAUAACUGUUCGAAAGGACAGCUAAUACCGGAUGUCCUCACCGAGCCGCAUGGUUUGGUGAGGAAAUGGAUUCCGCUCCGGGAGAGCCUCGCGGCCUAUCAGCUAGUUGGUGGGGUAACGGCCCACCAAGGCAUCGACGGGUAGCUGGUCUGAGAGGACGAUCAGCCACACUGGGACUGAGACACGGCCCAGACUCCUACGGGAGGCAGCAGUGGGGAAUCUUGCGCAAUGGGCGAAAGCCUGACGCAGCAACGCCGCGUGCGGGAUGAAGGCCUUCGGGUUGUAAACCGCUUUCAGUGGGGACGAACCAAGACGGUACCCACAGAAGAAGCCCCGGCCAACUACGUGCCAGCAGCCGCGGUAACACGUAGGGGGCAAGCGUUGUCCGGAUUCAUUGGGCGUAAAGAGCUCGUAGGCGGUUCGAUAAGUCGGGUGUGGAACCUCCAGGCUCAACCUGGAGACGCCACCCGAUACUGUCGUGACUAGAGUCCAGUAGGGGAGCGUGGAAUUCCUGGUGUAGCGGUGAAAUGCGCAGAUAUCAGGAGGAACACCAGCGGCGAAGGCGGCGCUCUGGGCUGGAACUGACGCUGAGGAGCGAAAGCGUGGGGAGCGAACAGGAUUAGAUACCCUGGUAGUCCACGCCGUAAACGUUGGGUACUAGGUGUGGGGUCUUAUCAACGGAU
rnacentral:rRNA from 1 species